rnacentral:lncRNA from 1 species
AACCUCUCCGCCAGCCGCCUGGCAGUCGAUCCAAAGCGAGAGCUAUCGAAGCACUGAAGCAGGGCGAGCUUUCUG